rnacentral:rRNA from 1 species
GACGAACGCUGGCGGCGUGCCUAAUACAUGCAAGUCGAACGCAGUGGGGACGGGUGAGUAACACGUGGGUAACCUCCCAUCAGAGGGGAUAACCCUUGGAAACUGGUGCUAAACCGAUACUGAUGUAUGGACCCGCGGUGCAUUAGCUAGUUGGUGGGGUAACGGCCCACCAAGGCUACGAUGCAUAGCUGACCUGAGAGGAUGAUCGGCCACACUGGGACUGAGACACGGCCCAGACUCCUACGGGAGGCAGCAGUAGGGAAUAUUGGGCAAUGGACGAAAGCCUGACGAAGCAACGCCGCGGGAGUGAAGAAGGUUUUCGGAUCGUAAAACUCUUUUGUUAGAGAAGCGGUAUCUAACCAGAAAGCCACGGCUAACUACGUGCCAGCAGCCGCGGUAAUUC